GGGAUUGUAGCUCAGUGGUAGAGCUCUUGCUUCACAUGUGUGAGGCACUGGGUUUGAUUCUCAGCACCA
rfam:Ictidomys tridecemlineatus contig094853, whole genome shotgun sequence.